CGCAGUGACACGGGGUGCCCCCUCCAGGGCUGAGAUGAGACCCGUCGAACCUGAUCUAGUUCGUACUAGCGAAGGGAUGUCGCGAAUGAGCAUU
rnacentral:ncRNA from 2 species